CGAACGCUGGCGGCGUGCUUAACACAUGCAAGUCGAACGGAAAGGCCCUGCUUGCAGGGUACUCGAGUGGCGCACGGGUGAGUAACACGUGGGUGAUCUGCCCUGCACUUCGGGAUAAGCCUGGGAAACUGGGUCUAAUACCGGAUAGGAGCCAUUUUUAGUGUGAUGGUUGGAAAGUUUUUUCGGUGUAGGAUGAGCUCGCGGCCUAUCAGCUUGUUGGUGGGGUAAUGGCCUACCAAGGCGGCGACGGGUAGCCGGCCUGAGAGGGUGGACGGCCACAUUGGGACUGAGAUACGGCCCAGACUCCUACGGGAGGCAGCAGUGGGGAAUAUUGCACAAUGGGCGCAAGCCUGAUGCAGCGACGCCGCGUGGGGGAUGACGGCCUUCGGGUUGUAAACUCCUUUCGCUAGGGACGAAGCUUUUUGUGACGGUACCUAGAUAAGAAGCACCGGCUAACUACGUG
rnacentral:rRNA from 1 species